UUUAAGAUUCUGAAAGCCUUAUUGUUUCUGUAUGUGGGUUUCAGUCUUCAUCACCGGAGUUUGGUCGCUACUACCGCUUGAGGUGGCUGUCGGGCUGCCGCCAAGCCGGUUCGGAGACCGCCCCUGUUUUGGUUCAGCCGUUCCUUCUUUGUUCGUGUUGCUAUGGUUAUUGCGAAAGUGGCUUGGAGCCGAGGUUUUGGUUGCCGGUGAUUUCGAGUUGAGGCGAAAAAGACUCAGUGAGGCG